rnacentral:rRNA from 1 species
AUACGGAGGAUGCGAGCGUUAUCCGGAUUUAUUGGGUUUAAAGGGAGCGUAGGUGGGAUAUUAAGUCAGCUGUGAAAGUUUGGGGCUCAACCUUAAAAUUGCAGUUGAUACUGGUUUCCUUGAGUACGGUACAGGUGGGCGGAAUUCGUGGUGUAGCGGUGAAAUGCUUAGAUAUCACGAAGAACUCCGAUCGCGAAGGCAGCUCACCGGGCCGGAACUGACACUGAUGCUCGAAAGUGCUGGUAUCAAACAGGAUUAGAUACCCUGGUAGUCCGCACAGUAAACGAUGAAUACUCGCUGUUUGCGAUACACGGUAAGCGGCCAAGCGAAAGCGUUAAGUAUUCCACCUGGGGAGUACGCCGGCAACGGUGAAACUCAAAUGAAUUGGCGGGG